rnacentral:rRNA from 1 species
CAAUAGCGUAUAUUAAAGUUGUUGCGGUUAAAAAGCUCGUAGUUGGAUUUCUGCCGAGGACGACCGGUCCGCCCUCUGGGUGAGUAUCUGGCUCGGCCUGGGCAUCUUCUUGGAGAACGUAGCUGCACUUGACUGUGUGGUGCGGUAUCCAGGACUUUUACUUUGAGGAAAUUAGAGUGUUUCAAGCAGGCUUACGCCUUGAAUACAUUAGCAUGGAAUAAUAAGAUAGGACCUCGGUUCUAUUUUGUUGGUUUCUAGAGCUGAGGUAAUGAUUAAUAGGGAUAGUUGGGGGCAUUAGUAUUUAAUUGUCAGAGGUGAAAUUCUUGGAUUUAUUAAAGACUAACUAAUGCGAAAGCAUUUGCCAAGGAUGUUUUCAUUAA